AUGAACGCUAGCGACAGGCUUAACACAUGCAAGUCGAGGGGCAGCGGGGUGUAGCAAUACACCGCCGGCGACCGGCGCACGGGUGAGUAACGCGUAUGCAACUUGCCUAUCAGAGGGGGAUAACCCGGCGAAAGUCGGACUAAUACCGCAUGAAGCAGGGAUCCCGCAUGGGAAUAUUUGCUAAAGAUUCAUCGCUGAUAGAUAGGCAUGCGUUCCAUUAGGCAGUUGGCGGGGUAACGGCCCACCAAACCGACGAUGGAUAGGGGUUCUGAGAGGAAGGUCCCCCACAUUGGUACUGAGACACGGACCAAACUCCUACGGGAGGCAGCAGUGAGGAAUAUUGGUCAAUGGCCGAGAGGCUGAACCAGCCAAGUCGCGUGAGGGAUGAAGGUUCUAUGGAUCGUAAACCUCUUUUAUAAGGGAAUAAAGUGCGGGACGUGUCCCGUUUUGUAUGUACCUUAUGAAUAAGGAUCGGCUAACUCCGUGCCAGCAGCCGCGGUAAUACGGAGGAUCCGAGCGUUAUCCGGAUUUAUUGGGUUUAAAGGGUGCGUAGGCGGCCUUUUAAGUCAGCGGUGAAAGUCUGUGGCUCAACCAUAGAAUUGCCGUUGAAACUGGGGGGCUUGAGUAUGUUUGAGGCAGGCGGAAUGCGUGGUGUAGCGGUGAAAUGCAUAGAUAUCACGCAGAACCCCGAUUGCGAAGGCAGCCUGCCAAGCCAUUACUGACGCUGAUGCACGAAAGCGUGGGGAUCAAACAGGAUUAGAUACCCUGGUAGUCCACGCAGUAAACGAUGAUCACUAGCUGUUUGCGAUACACUGUAAGCGGCACAGCGAAAGCGUUAAGUGAUCCACCUGGGGAGUACGCCGGCAACGGUGAAACUCAAAGGAAUUGACGGGGGCCCGCACAAGCGGAGGAACAUGUGGUUUAAUUCGAUGAUACGCGAGGAACCUUACCCGGGUUUGAACGCAUUCGGACCGAGGUGGAAACACCUUUUCUAGCAAUAGCCGUUUGCGAGGUGCUGCAUGGUUGUCGUCAGCUCGUGCCGUGAGGUGUCGGCUUAAGUGCCAUAACGAGCGCAACCCUUGCCACUAGUUACUAACAGGUAAAGCUGAGGACUCUGGUGGGACUGCCAGCGUAAGCUGCGAGGAAGGCGGGGAUGACGUCAAAUCAGCACGGCCCUUACAUCCGGGGCGACACACGUGUUACAAUGGCGUGGACAAAGGGAGGCCACCUGGCGACAGGGAGCGAAUCCCCAAACCACGUCUCAGUUCGGAUCGGAGUCUGCAACCCGACUCCGUGAAGCUGGAUUCGCUAGUAAUCGCGCAUCAGCCAUGGCGCGGUGAAUACGUUCCCGGGCCUUGUACACACCGCCCGUCAAGCCAUGGGAGCCGGGGGUACCUGAAGUCCGUAACCGAAAGGAUCGGCCUAGGGUAAAACUGGUGACUGGGGCU
rnacentral:rRNA from 1 species